CUGCCUUUUGCGUCCAAGAUCCUUGAAAGACUUGUGUAUAUGAGAUUGACAGACUUCCUCAAGUCCAAUUCUCUGCUCCACCCACUUCAGUCUGGUUUCCCCACUCAGCACUCUGUGGAAAUGGCUCUGACCAAAGUAUCAAACAAUCUACUCGCUGCAAAAUCUCAUGGUCACUACUCUAUCCUAAUUCUCCUUGACCUUUCCGCUGCUUUUGAUACUGUUGAUCAUCAA